ensembl:processed_transcript transcriptional regulating factor 1
AGAAGACCCAGUCCUAGAUGAAAGGGCCACUGCUCUCUGUGUGGGCUGUACUGUCUGGUCUGAAGGGCAGCUCAUGAUGAAGCCACCAACCAGAGGCAGACAUUGGAAGUCCCCACCUUGAUGCAGUUCUGUGGUAGAAGCUGGGUUCCAGAGAAGCCUGGUGGGCUCUCACAGCCCUCUUACCCCUCUCCCUGUCUGGGGUAAGGUUCAUAUCUCACCCGAGGCACCAGAUGUGAACUGAGUCAGCCUCAAGCCCCAGUGCUAAGCUCUGCACACACACCACUCACCACUGUUGCUGCUGAGGGACAAGCAGCACAGCUCCCUCACGCUCCAGCUCCAGGGGGCAGUGAAGGAGGAAGACACGGGAGCAAGACUACCCUGAGGGCUCACCAGCGGUCUCAAUCCUGAAACAGACCCGGGUCUCUUCUUCCCACCUGCCGAGCAGCAUGUGAGCAGCAUGACUGGCCAGCUGCAGGAGAAGCCCCCAGAGCCAGGACCGCGACACAGCCACCCGCUGCCAAGGUCAAGGUGUGAAGGACUUUCCCCCACCACGGUGGUGUCUGGUCCGUACCUCCGCCUGGGUGAGGAUGUAGGCACCUCGGCUCUGCUGAUGACCUGUUCAAGCCAACAGGGACCCCUGUCUCCAGCCACCCUCACAGACAUGUCAGCCGUGGAGUAGGGUGGACGCUUUCUCUCAUCUUCUCAGGGUUUCAGGAUUUUUCUUCUUUCUUUUUUUCUUUUUUUUUUUUCCUUGGUUUUUGGUUUUUGUUUUGUGGCUGAACACUCAUAAGCAAAGAGGACAUCAUGGGGGACCAGCAACUGUACAAGACCAAUCACGUGGGCCACGGUGGUGAGAACCUCUUCUAUCAACAGCCACCUCUUGGUGUCCACAGUGGACUGGGCCACAGCUAUGGGAAUACAAUCUCUGGGGCUGGGAUGGACGCCCCGCAGGCCUCACCCAUCUCGCCUCACUUCCCUCAAGAUACUCGGGAUGGUCUCGGCUUGCCUAUUGGCUCCAAAAACCUUGGCCAGAUGGAUACCUCCAGGCAGGGAGGAUGGGGAAGCCAUGCAGGGCCUGGGAACCACGUCCAGCUUCGUAGCAACUUGGCCAACUCAAACAUGAUGUGGGGGACGCCCACCCAGGUGGAGCCCGCUGAUGGCUACCAAUACACUUAUUCCCAGGCCAGCGAGAUCCGGACCCAGAAACUCACCAGUGGUGUUUUGCACAAGCUGGACUCUUUCACCCAGGUAUUUGCCAACCAAAACCUGCGGAUUCAGGUCAACAAUAUGGCCCAGGUGCUGCACACCCAAUCAGCGGUGAUGGAUGGAGCCUCCGACAGUGCCCUCCGUCAACUGCUGUCUCAGAAGCCCGUGGAGCCCUCAGCAUCAGCUAUAGCUUCCCGCUACCAGCAGGUGCCCCAGCAGCCUCACCCUGGCUUCACGGGUGGACUGCCCAAACCAGCCCUUCCAGUCGGGCAGCACGCUCCCCAAGGGCACCUGUAUUAUGACUACCAGCAGCCCCUGGCCCAGAUGUCCAUGCAAGGAGGACAGCCACUGCAAGCCCCUCAGGUGCUGUCCGGCCAUAUGCAACAAUUGCAGCAGCACCAGUAUUACCCACAGCCGCCGCCUCAGCAGCAGCAAGCCGGACUGCAGCGGAUCUCUGUGCAGGAGAUGCAGCAGCAGCAGCAGCAGCAGCAAAUUCGCCCCUCACCACCUCAGCAGCAGCAGCAGCUCCAGCUGCAGCAGCGGCAGAGUUCACUGCAGAUACCUCAGUAUUAUCAGCCCCAACCCAUGAUGCAACACUUGCAAGAGCAGCAGCAGCCAUCCAUGCACCUGCAGCCACCCUCAUACCACAGGGACCCUCAUCAGUAUACCCCGGAGCAGGCACAUGCUGUCCAGCUGAUCCAGCUGGGCUCUAUGCCCCAGUAUUACUAUCAGGAGCCUCAACAGGCCUAUAGCCACCCCCUCUACCCGCAGAGCCACCUGUCCCAGCACCAGCAGCGUGAAGACAGUCAGCUGAAGACAUAUUCUAGUGACAGACAGACCCCGGCUAUGCUGAGCUCCCAUGGGGACAUGGGGCCUUCUGAUACAGGAGUGGCGGAUCCAGCCAGCUCAGAAAUGACUCGGGUCACUAGUACUCUUCCUCACCAACCGCUCCUGUCCCCCAGUGGGAUCCACCUCAACAACAUGGGGUCUCAGCAUCAGCAGCCGCCAUCUCCCAGUGCGAUGUGGCCCCAGAUGCACUUACCUGAUGGGAGAGCCCAGUCCGGAUCCCCGGAAUCAAGCGGCCAAACCAAAGGAGUGUUUGGGGAACAGUUUGAUGCCAAGAACAAGCUGACAUGCUCCAUCUGCCUGAAGGAGUUCAAAAGCCUGCCCGCCCUGAACGGCCACAUGCGGUCCCACGGGGGGAUGAGGGCCUCCCCCAGCCUCAAACAGGUCAGCAGGGAGCCCGCUCCGUCCUUUCCGGGCCAUGUGCUGCUUGCUUUGCUUUGCUGCUGAUGGAGUGAGAUAGGGGAACGUGUGCCUUCUGUGGGCACCAGGAGAGGCACAGUCUCCCCUUCCCUGGCUUCUUAGACAAGUGUCGAAAGCGCAGUGCUAGAAAUCUCUUUAGAGAAUCCUAUUCCAGAGAAAGGUGCUGAAAGGAACUAUGUCAAUGUGGGAUCUAUAAAUAUGUAAAUGCCGAGUAUAUACACAUGCAAGUGUAAAGUAGAAUUGAAAUCUAAAGUAUAUGGAAAGUACUUGAGACCAUAACCGCACGGUCUCGGAGAUCGGGGAUCAGUGUAGGUAGGAUCCUGUGGUCCUGUAAUAACUUCACGAUUAUCCAGGUGGACAGUCAUGUAAGAAACCAUCUUUAGGUUUGGUUAAAACUCAGGAUUUUCUGGAAUUUUCUUUGAGUAUUGAAUUUAUGAGUCACUCUCCCGACUCUAUUUCCUGGCUAUGCCAGAUAAAAGAGGAGUUUAUCUUCACUUUUUUUUUUUAAAUUAUUUCAUUUUAUGUGCAUUGGUGUUUUUGCCUGUAUGCAUGUCUACAUGAGGGUGUCAAGUCACUUGUAUAGCAUAGUUCUGAAUUGCCAUGUGGGUACUGGGAAUUGAACUUGGAUCCUCUGGAAGUGCAGCCUGUGCUUUUAACCAUCUCUCCAACCUGUCUUCACAUUUUAAAAACAGAACGUUGGCAGGUGACUCAUGGCUCAUGCCUCUAUAAUCCCAGUGCUCGGGAGCUAGAGACAGGGGGAUCACUGCAAGUUGAGACUAGCCUGGUUUACAUGGCAUGUUCAAGGCUUGCUAAAGCAACAUAGCAAGACCCUUGUCUC